rnacentral:rRNA from 1 species
UACGUAGGGUGCAAGCGUUAAUCGGAAUUACUGGGCGUAAAGCGUGCGCAGGCGGUUAUGCAAGACAGAGGUGAAAUCCCCUGGCUCAACCUGGGAACUGCAUUUGUGACUGUAUAGCUAGAGUACGGUAGAGGGGGAUGGAAUUCCGCGUGUAGCAGUGAAAUGCGUAGAUAUGCGGAGGAACACCGAUGGCGAAGGCAAUCCCCUGGACCUGUACUGACGCUCAUGCACGAAAGCGUGGGGAGCAAACAGG